UUAUGCGAUACUUGGUGUGAAUUGCAGAAUUCAGUGAAUCAUCGAAUCUUUGAACGCAUCUUGCGCCUCUUGGUAUUCCGAGAGGCAUGCCUGUUUGAGUGUCAUUUAAUUCUCAACCUCAAAAGCUUUUUGGUUUCUGAGGCUUGGAUGUGGAGGCUUUUUGCUGGCUUGUUAAGAGUCGGCUCCUCUUAAAUGCAUUAGUGGAAAACUAUUUGUAGUCCGCAUUGGUGUGAUAAUUAUCAGCGCCAUUGUAUUCGUGGCUACAGCUUCUUGUAGUGUUCGUUUGGAAAGCUGCAAAAGCCUUUUUGCUCUUUCUGUUCUAAUUGACCUGCGAGGAGUUGCGUAGUAAUCUGCUUCGAACCGUCCUAAGUCACUGGACAACUCUUGAUUAUUUUGACCUCAAAUCAGGUAGGACUACCCGCUGAACUUAAGCAUAUCAAAGCCGGGAGGAA
rnacentral:rRNA from 1 species